UACGGGGGGUGCGAGCGUUGUCCGGAAUCACUGGGCGUAAAGGGCGCGUAGGUGGCCUGAUAAGGGUGUGGUGAAAGUCCGGGGCUCAACCCCGGAUCGGCCGUGCCGACUGUUAGGCUAGAGUACUGUAGGGGCAGGCGGAAUUCCGGGUGUGAGCGGUGGGAAUGCGUAGAUAUCAGGAGGAAUACCGGUGGUGUAGACGGCUCUCUGGACCGUAACUGACACUGGAGACACGGAAAAGCGAUGGGUAG
rnacentral:rRNA from 1 species